CGUGGGGAACCUGCCCCAUAGUCUGGGAUACCACUUGGAAACAGGUGCUAAUACCGGAUAAGAAAGCAGAUCGCAUGAUCAGCUUUUAAAAGGCGGCGUAAGCUGUCGCUAUGGGAUGGCCCCGCGGUGCAUUAGCUAGUUGGUAAGGUAAAGGCUUACCAAGGCGAUGAUGCAUAGCCGAGUUGAGAGACUGAUCGGCCACAUUGGGACUGAGACACGGCCCAAACUCCUACGGGAGGCAGCAGUG
rnacentral:rRNA from 1 species